rnacentral:rRNA from 1 species
AGAUUAAGCAAAGAAGAGCGCAGGGUGGAUGCCUUGGCACUAAGAGCCGAAGAAAGACGUGAUAAGCUGCGAAAAGCUGCGGGGAGAUGCAAAUAAUCCUUGAUCCGCAGAUGUCUGAAUGGGGAAACCCGGUACGAAGAACUCGUAUCAUCCAUACGCCAAUCCAUAACGUAUGGAGGGGAACCCGGUGAACUGAAACAUCUAAGUAGCCGGAGGAAGAGAAAGAAACAUCGAUUUUGUUAGUAGCGGCGAGCGAAAGCGAAAGAGGCCAAACCGGAGUGCGUGCACUCCGGGGUUCGGACCGCAUUUAAGAUUCAGUGAUUCUAGCAGAAAGGUUUGGGAAAGCCUGCCGGAGAGGGUGAAAGCCCCGUAAGCGAAAGGAAAACUGACUGAGCGGGAUCCAGAGUACAUCGAGACACGAGAAACCUUGAUGGAAUGAGCGGGGACCACCCCGUAAGCCUAAAUACUACUUAGUGACCGAUAGCGCAUAGUACUGUGAAGGAAAGGUGAAAAGGACCCCGGGAGGGGAGUGAAAGAGAACCUGAAACCCUGUGUUUACAAGCUGUGGAAGUUCUUUAAAUGAACAACCGCGUACUUUUUGUAGAACGGUCCGGCGAGUUGCGGAUACUGGCAAGGUUAAGCACUUAAGGUGCGGAGCCGAAGGGAUACCAAGUCUUAACAGGGCGUUAAGUCAGUAUACGCAGACCCGAAACCGGGUGAUCUAUCCAUGUCCAGGUUGAAGUUGUCGUAAAAGACAAUGGAGGACCGAAGCCACAUCCGUUGAAAAGGGUGGGCAUGAGGUGUGGAUAGGGGAGAAAUUCCAAUCGAACCCGGAGAUAGCUGGUUCUCCUCGAAAUAGCUUUAGGGCUAGCCUCGAUUUAGUCUUAUGGAGGUAGAGCACUGAAUUUCCGCGGGGGCGUCAAAGCUUACCAAAGAAUAUCAAACUCCGAAUGCCAUGUAGAUGAUGAUCGGGAGUCAGACUGCACGAGAUAAGUUGGGCAGUCAAAAGGGAAAGAGCCCAGACCACCGGCUAAGGUCCCAAAGUGCGUGUUAAGUGGAAAAGGAUGUGGGAAUUCGAAGACAACUAGGAUGUUGGCUCAGAAGCAGCCAUACAUUCAAAGAGUGCGUAACAGCUCACUAGUCGAGAGUUCCUGCGCCGAAAAUGUCCGGGGCUGAAACACGACACCGAAGCCGUGGACUCGCAAUGCGAGUGGUAGAGGAGCAUUCUUAAAACCGACGAAGCUGUACCGGAAGGAGCAGUGGAGGGAUAAGAAGAGAGAAUGCCGGAAUGAGUAGCGAGAGAAAGGUGGGAAUCCUUUCGGCCGAAUAUCUAAGGUUUCCAGAGUAAAGCUGAUCUGCUCUGGGUAAGUCGGGGCCUAAGCACAGGUCGCAAGACGUAAGCGAUGGAUAACAGGUUUAGAUUCCUGUACCACGCAUUAUCAGAACUGUAGGGACGCAUGUGGAAAGCACGAGCCGGGAAUGGAAAGACCGGUACAAGCGGGGUAGGUGUACGAUAGGCAAAUCCGUCGUAUAAUCCGAAGACGUGAUGUGGAGCGAAAUAAAGUAGUGAAGCGUGUGAGCCAUGUGCCGAGAAAAGCUGCUAUUGUGUAAUGCGUGCCCGUACCGUAAACCGACACAGGUGGAUGAGGAGAGAAUCCUAAGGCCGACGGAAGAAGCAUUGUUAAGGAAUUCGGCAAAAUGACCCCGUAACUUCGGGAGAAGGGGUGCCUGCGAGAGCAGGCCGCAGAGAAUAGGCUCAAGCAACUGUUUAGCAAAAACACAGGUCUAUGCGAAACCGAAAGGUGAAGUAUAUGGGCUGACGCCUGCCCGGUGCUGGAAGGUUAAGAGGAGAGGUUAGCGCAAGCGAAGCUUUGAAUUUAAGCCCCAGUAAACGGCGGCCGUAACUAUAACGGUCCUAAGGUAGCGAAAUUCCUUGUCGGGUAAGUUCCGACCCGCACGAAAGGCGUAAUGAUUUGAGCACUGUCUCGACAAUGCAUCCGGUGAAAUUGAAGUACCAGUGAAGAUGCUGGUUACCCGCGCCAGGACGGAAAGACCCCAUGGAGCUUUACUCCAGUUUGAUACUGGGAUUCGGUACUGCAUGUACAGGAUAGGUGGGAGACGAAGAAGGAUGGACGCCAGUCUGUCCGGAGUCGCUGUUGGGAUACCACCCCUGUAGUACUGGGUUUCUAACCAGUUGCCAUGAACUGGCAAUGGGACAAUGUCAGGCGGGGAGUUUGACUGGGGCGGUCGCCUCCGAAAGGGUAUCGGAGGCGCUCAAAGGUUCCCUCAGAAUGGUUGGAAACCAUUUGAAGAGUGCAAAGGCAGAAGGGAGCUUGACUGCGACACCGACGGGUGGAGCAGGUACGAAAGUAGGACUUAGUGAUCCGGUGGUAUAAAGUGGGAUUGCCAUCGCUCAACGGAUAAAAGCUACCCUGGGGAUAACAGGCUUAUCACUCCCAAGAGUUCACAUCGACGGAGUGGUUUGGCACCUCGAUGUCGGCUCAUCGCAUCCUGGGGCUGUAGCAGGUCCCAAGGGUUGGGCUGUUCGCCCAUUAAAGCGGUACGCGAGCUGGGUUCAGAACGUCGUGAGACAGUUCGGUCCCUAUCCGGCGCGGGCGGAGGAUAUUUGAGAGGAGCUGUCCUUAGUACGAGAGGACCGGGAUGGACGGACCACUGGUGUAUCUGUUGUCGACCAACGGCAUGGCAGAGUAGCCAAGUCUGGAAGGGAUAAACGCUGAAGGCAUCUAAGCGUGAAGCCCCCCUCAAGAUGAGAUAUCCCUCCUUCGGGAGUAAGACCCCUUGAAGACUACAAGGUAGAUAGGGCAGAGGUGGAAGCAUGGCAACAUGUGGAGCUGACUGUUACUAAUAGGUCGAGGGCUUAAUCUG